rnacentral:tRNA from 1 species
UAAGCAAGAAACUUAAAGUAUUAUGGUUUCGGCCCAUAACUAGGCACAUUACUACGCCCUUGCUUUA